rnacentral:rRNA from 1 species
UACGGAGGAGGCAAGCGUUAUCCGGAAUUAUUGGGCGUAAAGCGUCCGCGGGUGGCACUUCAAGUCUGUCGUCAAAGACUGGGGCUUAACCCUGGAAAGGCGGUGGAAACUGAAGCGCUAGAGUGCGGUAGGGGUAGAGGGAAUUCCCGGUGUAGCGGUGAAAUGCGUAGAGCUCGGGAAGAACAUCGGUGGCGAAAGCGCUCUGCUGGACUGCAACUGACACUCAGGGACGAAAGCUAGGGGAGCGAAUGGG